rnacentral:snRNA from 1 species
AGCUUUGCACAGUGGCAGUAUCGUAGCCAAUGAGGUUUAUCCAAGGCGCAAUUAUUGUUAAUUGAAAAUAUGCCAA